rnacentral:rRNA from 1 species
UUCCCCUAGUAAUGGCGAAUGAAGCGGGAACAGCUCAAAUUUGAAAUCUCCGUCGCCUGCGACGGCGAAUUGUAGUUUCGAGAAGCACUUUCUAGGCGAUCCGGUGCCGUCCAAGUUGCUUGGAACAGCACGUCAUAGAGGGUGACAACCCCGUCUGUGGCGGAACCGGCCGCUGACGAUGUGCUUUCGACGAGUCGGGUUGUUUGGGAAUGCAGCCCAAAAUGGGUGGUAAACUCCAUCUAAAGCUAAAUACUGGCACGAGACCGAUAGCGAACAAGUACCGUGAGGGAAAGAUGAAAAGCACUUUGAAAAGAGAGUUAAAAAGUACGUGAAACCGUUAAAAGGGAAACGAAUGAGGUUAGCAAUGCGUUCCGCGAGAUUCAGCCGGUGGUUGGGCUGGGCGGGCGGUUUGCGGAUCUGAAUGGACCGCUGCCGUUCGGGUCGGUCCCUCGACCGUCGCACUUCUCACGAACGCGCGUCAGUGUCGGUAGGAACUGGGUCUCAAAGGCGCCGGGAAGGUAGGUCAGUCCCUUCGGGGUCAGACUGUUAUAGACCGGCGUUUUCAUGGCUCGGAUCCCACCGAGGUGCCGCGGCACGUGCCUCUUCUGGCUGGGGUCCCGUCGUUCCGGUCGGUAGUCGACUGUGGUGGACUGCGUGCAGUGCAUCGCGACUGCUGCCGGUCGCUUCGGCGGUGACCUCACACCACGUGCCCAGGACGCUGGCGGUGACAUGGCCCCAUCCGACCCGUCUUGAAACACGGACCAAGGAGUCUAACAUGUGCGCGAGUCUUUGAGCGAUCGAAACUCGCAGGCGGAAUGAAAGUGAAGGCGGCUUCGGCCGCUGAGGUGAGAACCCCUCCUCGCGGGGGGCGCAUCAUCGACCGACCUAUUCUACUCUUAGGAAGGUUUGAGUAAGAGCGCAUCUGUUGGAC